rnacentral:rRNA from 1 species
GAUCAAGCUAAAAAGGGCAUACGGUGAAUGCCUUGGCAUCAAGAGCCGAAGAAGGACGUGAUAAGCUGCGAAAAGCUGCGGGGAGCUGCACAUAGGCCUCGAUCCGCAGAUAUCCGAAUGGGGAAACCCGGCAGGCAAAACCUGUCACUGCUGCAUGAACCAAAUAGUGCAGUAGAGGGAACCCGGUGAACUGAAACAUCUAAGUAGCCGGAGGAAAAGAAAUCAAAAGAGAUUCUCCUAGUAGCGGCGAGCGAACGGGGAAGAGCCCAAACCAUGGAGCUUCGGCUCUGUGGGGUUUAGGACAGCGAAAGGCAAGAUAUUGGUUAGUGGAACACUUUUGGAAAAGGUGACCAAAGGGGGUGAAAGUCCCGUACACGAAAACUGAUUGAAGCUGGCUGGAUCCAGAGUACCACCAGACACGAGGAAUCUGGUGGGAAGACGGGGAGACCACUCUCCAAGGCUAAAUACUACUUGAUGACCGAUAGAGGAAUAGUACCGUGAGGGAAAGGUGAAAAGAACCCCGGGAGGGGAGUGAAAGAGAACCUGAAACCGUAUGCUUACAAGCAGAUACAGCACUAUUAGAGAGUGUAGUAUCGUACUUAUUGAAGAACGGGCCAGCGAGUUACUAAGUGGAGCGAGGUUAAGAUGUUCAGCAUCGGAGCCGUAGGGAAACCGAGUCUUAAGAGGGCGUAAUAGUUGCACUGAGUAUACCCGAAACCGGGCGACCUAUCCAUGAGCAGGUUGAAGCGGAGGUAAAGCUCUGUGGAGGACCGAACGGACACCUGUUGAAAAAGGUGCCGAUGACUUGUGGAUAGCGGAGAAAUUCCAAUCGAGCUCGGAGAUAGCUGGUUCUCCUCGAAAUAGCUUUAGGGCUAGCGUCGUGAAGUAAUAUCCGGAGGUAGAGCACUGAAUGGUCGCGGGGAUGUCAAAGUCUACCAACACUUAUCAAACUACGAAUGCCGGAUAUUAGCAGCGGCAGUCAGACAGUGGGAGCUAAGUUUCAUUGUCAAAAGGGAAACAGCCCAGAUCAUCAGCUAAGGUCCCCAAGUACAGGUUAAGUGGAGAAGGAUGUGGGAAUGCUAAGACAACCAGGAUGUUGGCUUAGAAGCAGCCACUCAUUCAAAGAGUGCGUAAUAGCUCACUGGUCGAGUGAUCCUGCGCCGAGAAUGUCCGGGGCUAAAACCUGUCACCGAAGCUAUGGAAUUGUGAUUACACAAUUGGUAGAGGAGCGUCGUAUACGGACUGAAGCCGUACCGUAAGGAGCGGUGGACUGUAUAGGAGAGAGAAUGCUGGCAUGAGUAGCGAGAGGGAGGUGAGAAUCCUCCCCAUCGAAAGUCUAAGGUUUCCUGGGGAAGGCUCGUCCUCCCAGGGUAAGUCGGGGCCUAAGGCGAGGACUUGAUGGUCGUAGUCGAUGGACAACAGGUUGAUAUUCCUGUACUACCGGCAAUUGCGUAACUGAAGCAGUGACACAGAAGGAUAGUUUGAGCGGGAUGAUGGUAGAACCCGUCCAAGCGCGGGUCUUGAGAUUAGUGAAGUACGGUCUCAUUAAGGAUUACGCGUGAUGGGGAACGAACAUAAGUAGUGAAGCGAAUGAAUCCACGCUGGCGAGAAAAGCUGCUAGGGAGAUUGCAGGUACCCGUACCGCAAACCGACACAGGUAGACGAGGAGAGAAUCCUAAGAUGAGCGAGAUAAGCAUUGUUAAGGAACUAGGCAAAAUGACUCCGUAACUUAGGGAGAAGGAGUGCCUCGAGAGAGGUCGCAGUGAAGAGUCCCAAGCGACUGUUUAACUAAAACACAGGUCUGUGCAAACACGAGAGUGGAAGUAUACGGGCUGACGCCUGCCCAGUGCCGGAAGGUUAAGGGGAACUGUUAGUGCAAGCGAAGCAGAGAACUUAAGCCCCGGUGAACGGCGGCCGUAACUAUAACGGUCCUAAGGUAGCGAAAUUCCUUGUCAGGUAAGUUCUGACCCGCACGAAUGGCGUAACGAUUUGGGAACUGUCUCAACAAUGUACUCGGCGAAAUUGUAGUAUGAGUGAAGAUGCUCAUUACCCGCGAUAGGACGGAAAGACCCCGUAGAGCUUUACUGUAGUUUGGUAUUGGAUUUUGGUAUCAGUUGUAUAGGAUAGGUGGGAGCCUGGGAAGCGAAGACGCCAGUUUUCGCAGAGGCGCCGUUGGAAUACCACUCUGCUGAUACUGGGACUCUAACACACGGCCGUGAUCCGGCGUGUGGACAGUGCCAGAUGGGCAGUUUGACUGGGGCGGUCGCCUCCGAAAGAGUAACGGAGGCGCCCAAAGGUCUCCUCAGCAUGGUCGGAAAUCAUGCAAAAGAGUGCAAAGGCAGAAGGAGGCUUGACUGCGAGAGUGACAAUUCGAGCAGGUACGAAAGUAGGGCUUAGUGAUCCGGCGGCAGAGAGUGGAAUUGCCGUCGCUCAACGGAUAAAAGCUACCUCGGGGAUAACAGGCUGAUCUUCCCCAAGAGUCCACAUCGACGGGAAGGUUUGGCACCUCGAUGUCGGCUCGUCGCAUCCUGGGGCUGAAGCAGGUCCCAAGGGUAUGGCUGUUCGCCAUUUAAAGCGGCACGCGAGCUGGGUUCAGAACGUCGUGAGACAGUUCGGUCCCUAUCCGUCGUGGGCGCAGGAAGUUUGAGAGGAGCUGUCCUUAGUACGAGAGGACCGGGAUGGACGUACCAAUGGUGUACCGGUUGUUCCGCCAGGAGCAUGGCCGGGUAGCUAAGUACGGACGGGAUAAACGCUGAAAGCAUCUAAGCGUGAAGCCUCCCUCAAGAUAAGACUUCCCAUUCUAUAUGAAGUAAGACCCCUUGCAGACUACAAGGUUGAUAGGGCAGAGGUGGAAGUGCAGUAAUGCAUGGAGCUGACUGUUACUAAUAGGUCGAGGGCUUGAUCUAAAA